GACAAACGUUGGCGGUGCGUCUUAGACAUGCAAGUCGAGCGUGAAAGCCCGCAAGGGUGAGUAAAGCGGCGAACGGGUGAGUAAUACUUGGGUAACAUCCCUCCAAGAUUGGGAUAACGCGCCGAAAGGCGUGCUAAUACCGGAUGAGACCACGAUUCCCUCGGGGAUUGGGGUUAAAGAUGGCCUCUAUUUAUAAGCUAUCACUUGGAGAUUGGCUCAAGCACCAUUAGCUAGUUGGCGGGGUAAUGGCCCACCAAGGCUACGAUGGUU
rnacentral:rRNA from 1 species